CAACUCUCGCGAUGCCGAGAAAGGCUUGAUGGGAAAUGUAGUUCUAAAGCUGCCGUUGUCAAGAGUGGGUCAUCUCACAUCAGACUGAGUGAAGUGAAGGGGGGUGGGGGCUGUGUGUAUCAGCUCAGCUCAGGGUCCAGAGGCCAGAAGAGGGAGUCAGAUCCCCUGGAACUGCUGCUUACAGACUCACAAAGAAACAGCACGUUCCCUCCGUGUAAGGACUCAGCCUCCCCCUAACAAGAAGCCCUGCAAGGAGCAUACAAAUGGGGCCAGGAGAGUGAAGCGCCCCCUCCGCCCUUGCCUGCCUCAGAUGGUCCCAGGUUUCACUUAGUCUAGUUCUGACCAGCACCUCUGCCGUAUUCCCAUCUCAGGACAGUUCUGCGUGCGUGCACACGCUACACAUUCGGAAUGGGUGUGUGCCCCCCAAAGUCAUAUCUGCACUUUAAGGUGGCACAGGGCAGAACCGCACAGCAGCAGCUGCAGAAGCCGCUCGAACCACUACCCUGCUGCCGCCACAACAUCUCAUCCAUUCUCUGGUCAUGUUGCCGUCUCCAGGAGAGACUGGCAGCCUUCCUGAGUGCCAGGUGCAGAAGCAGCAGACAGCAGUACUCCCUGCCCAGGCUGCUGCCCUUGGGCACCCUGCUGCUCCGAGCAGCCCUUUCCUGUCACCUAGACUCUCACCAGCAGAGAGAUUGGCAUUCAGACAAGCAGGGAAGGCACCAGGGCAGCCGCCUCCAGACGAGGGAGGGGAGGCACCAGGGCAGCCGCCUCCAGACGAGGGAGGGGAGGCACCAGGGCAACCGGCUUGUCCCCCACAGCUGAGAUUGCUUCGGAAAGCUAAGGUGUCCGGGCUGAGACAGCCUUCGGCACACAGAGAGGUCCUGGGUGCUCUCACCAGUCCCCCACCCACCUUCCUACCUCUCCUCAUUUGCCCAUCACCCAGCUGUGAUGUAUGUGGAGGGUGGAAAGGAAGACGCAGCUGAGGUAAGGGGAGGAAGAGGUUGCAUCCAAAGACCCGCAGCACUCACUAGUGUGUGCUGUGUAGUGUAGUUGUGUAGUGAGCACCACACAACCAUCUAACCCUCACAGAACACACUGUGUCUUAGAAACUAGGAAACAGACCCGCUAUCCCCACCCAAGGUCACAGAGGAAGGAAGUGACAGCGGAUCCUGGCCCUGGCUCCAGCUCCUUUGCUCUUAGGUGCCUGAUUAUUCAGAGCCAGCACCCUGCACCAGCAGCUGCCCAUCCUUUCAUCUCACCUGUCUCUCCCAUUGUCCUCAGCAGCUAUUUCUAAGGAAACUGGAAAGGAAGGACUUAGCCUCUGUGAGGAUAGAUAGCGUCAUGGCCAGGAAUUAACUGACAGCCUCCAUGUUUAAAAGAUCAUGCCUUGACCUAUGUGGUGGGAGUCAGUGGACUGAGGGGAGGGCACCUGAGCAGUACGAGCCUCCUGUAGAGGAGUUCGGCUGGGGGGUGGCACCUGGGCGCUGGGAGACUCCUGAGGGGAAUGCUGGGCAUUCCCUAUUCCCAUAGGAGCCUUCCCUAUGAGGGAAGGGACUUUCUGAGCAAAAGCUGCAAAUGUGCAGAUUGCACAGAGAGCCCGGGAUGGGAGAGGCCCUGGGAAUAAGCCGAGCGUGGGCAGGGUGUGCGGGGAGGGUGUAAACACAGUCUGCUCCCACCAAAGCCAGCCUGCUCCCUGGGGGAGAGGACCCCUCCCUCCCAGCCCACAUGGCACCCCAGCUGCCAGGUCCCAGGGAGUCGCAUCCCCCCAGUGCCAGCGAGCCCCUUCCCAUCCCGACCUCAUCCAGAGUGGAUCUUUAGAGGAGAUUCACAGAACAGUGUUGCCCUGUCAGAAGUGGAGCUGGGCUGGAAGCCAGCCCUGGUACCGCUCUGUGACCUUGGCCUGACAAUUUCUUGGAUCAUUGAAAGGAGGCGGGCAACUUGGAAAUGGCAGAAAGGAGAGACAAGGAUGGAGUGACAGGAACAUGGUGACUAGAUUAGAGAGUGAAGGCAAAGCUGGGAUCAGAGAAGACAGAGUCCCUAGGAGCAGUGCCCUCUGGCCAUCAUCCUCAUAGGCCUGUCACUGGUGCGACUCACGCCUCCCAGGAGGAGACAGGCUGACAGGAGCCGAGGCAGGUGGCCACAGGCUCAUGGCCCACGUCAGGGGCACUCUGGCCGGUCCUUUCCCUAGUGUGGACCCCCCACCCCCCGCACACACACACCUCCCACUCAAGUAAAGCAGCUCCCAUAGUACUGCCUGUGUACAUCCCUGAGCCAGGCUCCUGGCAGUACCAACCACUCCUCCCAGUGAGUACCCUCCCCAACAGUGGGUCCCUCGCUGCUGCAUCUCUCAUCCUUUCUCUCCCUCCACUGAAGUGGAACAGUGUUGGGAUCCCGCUGUCUAGGGAACUGUCUUCUGCCGCCUGAAAGUCAAGGGCAGAGGCCGGCUAGGCAGAGGCAUCACUGCGGGGCUGGCAGUGGGGAGCUGUGUGCGGAAGAGAGAUGCACGGGUGGGGGCGCUUUUGAAGAUGAAUGGCUCCCAGACAGUUGGGAGCAGCUGCCCGCAGGGUAAGCCUGCAUCUGGGAGCCGGAGUGGAAAUGUUCUUUUAUCUGUGCUCUGGAUCAAGCAGGACAGUAGUGACGGAAAUGGCAGAGCAGCUGGGGGCAAGGGAGGCUGCCACCGGGUUACCGAGCAGUCAGCACAGUGACAAACACAGCCUCACGCUUUCCCUUCCCACUCACGGCUGCCCACUUAGAGUGCACGCACGCUCACACACACACACACACACACACACACACACACACACAGAGAUAGACACACACAGAGAUACACACACACACACACACACACACAUACUCACACAUAUACACACAUGCUCCAGCUCACUGCUACCCACUUAGAGAACACACACAGAUACACACAGAGAUACACACAUGCGCACUCACACACUCACACAAACACACGCACACACGCUUCCACUUGCCGAUGCCCACUUAGUGAACACACACAUACACACACAUGCUCCCACUCGCAGCUGCCCACUUAAAGAACACACACACACACACACACACACACACACGCCCCCACUACCCGAUGCCCACUUAGAGAACACACAUUUGUGCAUGCGCACACACAGACGGAAAGCACAUUCGGAGCACAAGCUGGUGUUCAGUGUGUCCUCCCAUUCGGCUCAGGCAGACAUAUCCAGCUGGCCUUUCUUACUGAUAAUUUCAGGAGAGCAGCCAAUGACAGGGUGAGUUCUAGGGACUGAAAGGAGGCAGAUGCCACAGGAAUGAGAAUCACUGUAGCCUAGCCCUAGACCCCAGGGGUUUAGCAGAAUAGCUCCUGAGCUGACAGAUGGCCAAGCCAAUAGAAACACAGGGAGCCAAUCAGCAGCAAAGUUGAGUAGUGGGGUUAAGCUUGGAUCCCCCACCUAGUAACGUAGUCAUGGGCUGUGUCCUCUCGUGUGUGUGCCAUGGAGUAUGUACAGUCCAUGGAUUAUGCUCAGGAUUGGACUGGAAAAUGAAUGGAGGAAGCCUUGUUGACUAAGCCCAAGCCAUCAUUUGUCCUUCCCUUAGCUCUGGAGUCUUCUUGCUCUCUGCUUGCACCUGGCCCUUGCCCGAGUUAACCUGGAGAACCCUGAGAUAUCCUUCUCUGUGCCUCCUCCAGCUUGGCAGUCCCUUAGAGCAGGGACUUGGAAAUGGGUACCUAGGAGGCAUAAGCAUCCCGUGCUCUUUCUGCCAGCCCAGGUUUGUUCAGGAGCCUGAGUCAUGGCCUGCCUAGCAGCAAACCUAGGGAGUGUGGAGGAAAAGCCUGCCUUCUCCAUGAAUGCUUCUCCUGCCCCCCCCCACACACACACCUCUGCUUCCAGCCCCACAACAUCUUCCUAGAUGGGAGGUGAACCAGGACUCCAGCUUGACCGGAAUGUCAGACAGUUCGGUGCGCUCCCCUGUGCCCAGAGGUAAGGUGUGUAUUUCAGGGUGGCCAAUUCCACUGCCUCUCCCUUAGAAGUCUGCAGCACUGUUCUCAGGACUUAGCUGAACCUCACCUCGCCUCCAAACCUUGAAAACGUUUCAGGGCCACACCCAAGUCUCUUCAAACCAGUCCUAGCUCUGUGGCCUGAAGUGAAAGCCGCAAGCUCAAAGAUAAAACCGGCCUUACCCAGCCUCCACCAGUGAUCCUGAGAGCUGAGGAUGGCCCCUCUCCCCACAAGGCUGGACCAAUGCCCUGCCUCCACCAGUGAUCCUGAGAGCUGAAGGUGGCCCCCUCUCCCCACAAGGCUGGACCAAUGCCCUGCCUUCUGCCCUCCAUGGAUCCUGGUCCUGACUUUACCUGUCAAGGCUGAUAGGUCACAGUCCCCAGAGUCGAGCCAGUCUGAAGAAGUGAAGGCCUACUUCACAGGUCCUUUCUCCCUGAACAGAGAGAAGAUGCGCUGGAGUCAGGAGAUGGAAGGGUUAAACUUGUCAUGUUUGGGGACUCUUCCUCCUACUUCCAGCUAGGGCACCCCAGCCAGCCCUGUGGCCCCAACCAGAGCACCCCAGCCAGCCCUGUGGCUCCAACCAGAGCACCCCAGCCAGCCCUGUGGCUCCAACCAGAGCACCCCAGCCAGCCCUGUGGCCCCAACCAGAGCACCCCAGCCAGCCCUGUGGCACCUCCCCACAGCAACCUUCUCCUUGUUGCCUGACUAACUCUUCAGGUAACUGGGUGCCAAGGAAUUAAAAGGCAUCAGGCUAGGCCUGUCCAAAUAGUCCCCA